rnacentral:rRNA from 1 species
AGAGUUUGCUUCUGGCUCAGGAUGAACGCUAGCGACAGGCUUAACACAUGCAAGUCGAGGGGCAGCACAGGUAGCAAUACCGGGUGGCGACCGGCGCACGGGUGAGUAACGCGUAUGCAACUUACCUAUCAGAGGGGGAUAACCCGGCGAAAGUCGGACUAAUACCGCAUGAAGCAGGGGCCCCGCAUGGGGAUAUUUGCUAAAGAUUCAUCGCUGAUAGAUAGGCAUGCGUUCCAUUAGGCAGUUGGCGGGGUAACGGCCCACCAAACCGACGAUGGAUAGGGGUUCUGAGAGGAAGGUCCCCCACAUUGGUACUGAGACACGGACCAAACUCCUACGGGAGGCAGCAGUGAGGAAUAUUGAUCAAUGGCCGAGAGGCUGAACCAGCCAAGUCGCGUGAGGGAUGAAGGUUCUAUGGAUCGUAAACCCCUUUUAUAAGGGAAUAAAGUGCGGGACGUGUCCCGUUUUGUAUGUACCUUAUGAAUAAGGAUCGGCUAACUCCGUGCCAGCAGCCGCGGUAAUACGGAGGAUCCGAGCGUUAUCCGGAUUUAUUGGGUUUAAAGGGUGCGUAGGCGGCCUUUUAAGUCAGCGGUGAAAGUCUGUGGCUCAACCAUAGAAUUGCCGUUGAAACUGGGGGGCUUGAGUAUGUUUGAGGCAGGCGGAAUGCGUGGUGUAGCGGUGAAAUGCAUAGAUAUCACGCAGAACCCCGAUUGCGAAGGCAGCCUGCCAAGCCAUUACUGACGCUGAUGCACGAAAGCGUGGGGAUCAAACAGGAUUAGAUACCCUGGUAGUCCACGCAGUAAACGAUGAUCACUAGCUGUUUGCGAUACAUUGUAAGCGGCACAGCGAAAGCGUUAAGUGAUCCACCUGGGGAGUACGCCGGCAACGGUGAAACUCAAAGGAAUUGACGGGGGCCCGCACAAGCGGAGGAACAUGUGGUUUAAUUCGAUGAUACGCGAGGAACCUUACCCGGGUUUGAACGCAUUCGGACCGAGGUGGAAACACCUUUUCUAGCAAUAGCCGUUUGCGAGGUGCUGCAUGGUUGUCGUCAGCUCGUGCCGUGAGGUGUCGGCUUAAGUGCCAUAACGAGCGCAACCCUUGCCACUAGUUACUAACAGGUAAAGCUGAGGACUCUGGUGGGACUGCCAGCGUAAGCUGCGAGGAAGGCGGGGAUGACGUCAAAUCAGCACGGCCCUUACAUCCGGGGCGACACACGUGUUACAAUGGCGUGGACAAAGGGAAGCCACCUGGCGACAGGGAGCGAAUCCCCAAACCACGUCUCAGUUCGGAUCGGAGUCUGCAACCCGACUCCGUGAAGCUGGAUUCGCUAGUAAUCGCGCAUCAGCCAUGGCGCGGUGAAUACGUUCCCGGGCCUUGCACACACCGCCCGUCA